CGCAACGUUAGCUUCAAUGGCUGUUCUGUAGAAAAUGCCUUUGAAUGCAAGAAAAAAAAUCAAAAUUUAGUGAACGGAGCUAAUAGAAGAUGACAAAUUUCAUUUUUCUUUCCUUAUUGGUCAUUUUCUGCCUGACGUGACACAUUGGAAAGAAACAGCAAGAUAACAGAAAUUAAGCAUAAUUUUUCUUUUCGGGUGUCUUUAAUUAUUGUAAAUUUUAAAGGUUUUUAUUAAAAGAAACAAAAUAAA